rnacentral:rRNA from 1 species
UACAGAGGGUGCGAGCGUUGUCCGGAAUCACUGGGCGUAAAGGGCGCGUAGGCGGCGCGGUAAGCGUGCGGUGAAAGCCCGGGGCUCAACCCCGGGUCGGCCGUGCGGACUGCCGGGCUGGAGCACUGUAGAGGCAGGUGGAAUUCCGGGUGUAGCGGUGGAAUGCGUAGAGAUCCGGAAGAACACCGGUGGCGAAGGCGGUCUGCUGGGGUCGAACUGACGCUGAGGCGCGACAGCGUGGGGAGCAAACAGG